GGGCAACACCUGCAGCUCCCACCGCUGUCUCCUCCGCAACAGGGAUGGUUCUGUGCAGCUGGAGCCCUUGUGGAAAGCCACCUACUCACAUUUCCUCCUUGAAAUGGACAGGUCCCCUCAGCCUUCCUAGUCAGUCACACCACUGGGGACACAGGAAUCUGCUGGGUAAGCAGCUGAUCCACCAAGGGGCUUUGGAUCCAGAAGACUCCCAAAUGGAUGCCCUCUGAACUGCCUAUUCCCUGCUCAGGCCACCUCACCAGUGAAUGGCAGGCAGCACCAUCCCCUAGGCUCGAUCCUGACCUAUGGAAGAGUGAAGAAAGCUAGUUGACAGCAAAUAAGCUAUCAACGUAGGUGCAUAUGCCUCUCUCUGCUCUUUACUAUGGAUGUGAUGUGUCCAGAUGUCUCAAGUUCCUGCUUCUGAUUUCCCUGUAGUGAUGGACUCCUGCCUGGAGAAAACUGCACCGUACAGAAACGGGCCUCUCUGUUCCCCAGGAGCUCCUCUGAAGCGGCAUAGAACACAUACAGAGGUAUAGCAGCCAUCCCACAGUCAUCCAGCCAAGUGAGGGCAGAGCUGGCUCUUGAACUGGGUGGAUUAGCUAGGUCCAACGGAUCAGGCUUGGAUUCUGUGAGGAUAUUUCUCAGUGCUAGGUUCACUGCUAGCUAAUGGCCACUGAGCAGGUUACUCUCCUGAGGUGGUUCUCAGCCAAUGGUAUGACUUUCUCCAACAGCCCAACGCAACAUUCCUUCUGAGUUCAGUGUCACGGUGCCACUGCACACAGCACAAACAGUCUAAGAGCAUCCAUCCACGUGCCUUCUAGUCUCCACUUUUCAUGGCUCCAAUGCCACCACACUAACCCCAGACUGCCCAAUCUGCCAGACAGAAGCUCUGGAGGCCUGGGAAUAGAACUUGAUGCAUCCUGACACCCACAAUGGACUGUGUCUUCCAGGGCAGCUCAAGGAGUGCUACUCCAAGGAGGAGAUACAGGCUAAGGCACCCAACACUGGAUUCACAGAGCUGUCUUCCAGCCCUGCCCUGCUCUGGAGACAGGCCACUACAUUUGCAGCCAUUGGUAUAACUAUCACCCCUGUGUUGGUUAAUACAUCAAUUUGACAGGGUUUUGAAUCAUCUAGAAGAUAAACUUCUGGGCAGGCCUGUGGGGAAGUUUCUAGAUUGAGUUGAAGUGAGGAGACCCAUCUGACAUGUGUAGUGGUAUCUCUUGGGGUUCAGUCUCAGACUGAAUAAAAAGGGAAUAAGGGGGCUGGAGAUGUGGUUCAGUGGUAGAAUACUUGCCUAGCAUACAUAGGCUGUGGGUUUGAUCCUGUCCUGGUUAGUAUUAUGCCAACAUGACACAAGAUAAGUCAUUUGAGAGAAAGGGAAUCUCAGUUGAGAAAUGCUUCCAUAAGAAUGGCCUAUUGCCAAGGCCUAGAGUGCAUUUUUCAAAUUAGUGAUUG